AUCCGGCCGACGAGUCUUAAAUAAGACGAAACGCGCGUCCUGGAU
rnacentral:hammerhead_ribozyme from 1 species